UUUUGCCCAAUUGUUAACUUUUUUGGUAUGCUAACCAACCUGAAUAAUUCCCUUAAUUACAUCCCGCCAAUGGUAUCACAAGUAACUUAGGCCUGUCAAAAAGAGAAAAAGAAAACCUACAUGAAAUGUUCCUAAGACUGGACACAUCAACUUGACCUAAGACUGGACACAAACUUUCUGAUGUGUUAGUUUUGCGUGCGCUUCGACGUUAUCUGCAGUGUUCUGAAGUAAUAUACUAUAUGCGUGUUUAAAAUGCAGUGGAAAUGCCACCUAGAAAUCUUUUGUGAGGAUGUGUUCGACAACAGAGCAACUUCCUGUGUCGGUGACAUUGAGCUGGGAUUAAGGAGCUGCAUGAGAACUGAGCUUUGCUGGUCAAAAUGGCUUUUCUUAUACAGCAGAGGAGCAUCUAAAAUGUAUAAUCCUCUCUAGCAUCUACUGACUCAAAAGAAAGCAAUCCUGCCUAGCAGUAAUAUAAGGGAGAACAUAACUGCGGGGAUUUCUCCACAAGGGAGACAAGACUCCUAAGAAAGAGAAAUGAAUAACAAAUGACCAGUAUUCAGCACAAAGUCCCUGUGGUUCAGUAAAAAUGAGGUUAGUCCUUAGGGUCCUGCCGACUUGAAGGGAUCCUGAAUACGUCAAGAUGCCACAGAUGCAUAGAAAGAUCACAUUCUGAAAACUUGCUGGAAUCAGUGAGGAUCCUUAAAUGAGACCUUACAGCAGUAGAAAACCAGAGCAGCGGGGCCUAGCAGAAGAAUGAAGCCUUGUCUGGUUUUCAGGGAGUAUUCGGCCUUAACAGGAAAAUAAGCUAUAGAGAAGUGACAGUACUCUAUGUAUUUUUUUAACUAUUUACAAGAUUUGUUCUUGUUAAGGUAAUGUUUUGUUUCUUAAAGAACAUUGGAAAAUAUUUGACAUGAUUGUCUUUGGAUCUGUAGGAGACUUAUCCAACCUCAACAAGAAAACAGAAAUGGAAGCCUCUGUAUUUUCUAUUCCUUUCAUGCCAAUUCUCAGAAGAAGGAGAUACCCCAAAAUGUGGAUCCUGAUCUCCUGUCCUCCAUGAUAAUCAAAAUUCUAUCUGAUACGUAAUUUGAGCUGAAUGAGUAGACUGCGUUAGCUGUACCAGGAGAUGAGGAAGCUACUCUUUUCUGUAGGCGUGUCAUGAUUGACCUCUGAAAAGUACCACUUGACUAUUAACUGUGAACAUUCUUGUAAUAAACCAUUAUGUUGACCUCACAUUAUCCACCAAUAGUGCAAUAAUUUCCAAAUUACCUGACACCCAUUUUAUCAUCUAUUCCGACAUAUGCACCUUUACUCUCUUACAUAUGAGACCUGCACCAACAGCUAAACCUGACCAACCUGAUUAACGCAACACGUAAACUCCUAUUUGAGCGCUCAAACGGGUCACACCCCGGAGGGUGUGAGCUGAAAUGCCGGCGCUAGCAGCCACCGCGCCCAAGCAGGGCAAUAAUUGAAUUGCACCGUUAGGUGCCAGCCAGUGGCUGCCAGCGCGAAAACAUCUGGAAAUAUUCUGCAGCGCUUUACAGAGAAUGUUUGGCAAUUCCCAUCAUUACCUGCCCCAGUGAAGCCUACAAUUUAUAUUCCCUGCCACAUUUACACACACACACACUCACGCCAGGGUUAAUUUUGUCAGGACCCAGUUAACCAUCCAGUAUAUUUUUGGAUUGUGGGAGGAAACCGGAGUACCCUGGGGAGAAUACACAAACUCCGCUCAGUUAGGGCCAUGGUGGGAAUUGAUCCCAUGACCUCAGUGCUGUGAGGUAGUAAUGCUAACCAUCACACCAUCCGUACUGCCCUCCCUACUACUUCCAGCACUUCAAUCACUCAUAGUAGCCCAAACUAUCUGUGAUGUUCAUAUUUUAUUUGUACUGUUCAUUGAUUUUAUUGACACUGUUCAUUGAUUUUAUUGAUGUAGAAAAAUGUUAUGCGCUGACAUUUGUUUGGUUUGUUUGAAA